UGGGGAAUAUUGGACAAUGGGCGCAAGCCUGAUCCAGCAACGCCGCGUGGAGGAUGAAGGUCUUCGGAUUGUAAACUCCUGUCAGGCGGGACGAAGGCUUCGGGGUAAAUAAUCCUGGAGCUUGACGGUACUGCCAGAGGAAGCCCCGGCUAACUCCGUGCCAGCAGCCGCGGUAAUACGGAGGGGGCGAGCGUUAUUCGGAAUUAUUGGGCGUAAAGGGCGCGUAGGCGGCCCUGUAAGUCAAAGGUGAAAUCCCUCGGCUCAACUGAGGAACUGCCUUUGAAACUGCAGGGCUUGAGUCCGGGAGGGGGUAGCGGAAUUCCCAGUGUAGCGGUGAAAUGCGUAGAUAUUGGGAGGAACACCGGUGGCGAAGGCGGCUACCUGGACCGGCACUGACGCUGAGGCGCGAAAGCGUGGGGAGCAAACAG
rnacentral:rRNA from 1 species